UACAGAGGUCCCAAGCGUUGUUCGGAUUUAUUGGGCGUAAAGAGCUCGUAGGCGGUUUGUUGCGUCGGCUGUGAAAUCCCGAGGCUCAACCUCGGGUCUGCAGUCGAUACGAGCAAACUAGAGUGUUGCAGGGGAGACUGGAAUUCCUGGUGUAGCGGUGAAAUGCGCAGAUAUCAGGAGGAACACCGGUGGCGAAGGCGGGUCUCUGGGCAACAACUGACACUGAGGCGCGAAAGCGUGGGGAGCAAACAGG
rnacentral:rRNA from 1 species